UACGUAGGGUGCGAGCGUUGUCCGGAAUUAUUGGGCGUAAAGGGCUCGUAGGCGGUCUGUUGCGUCGGGGGUGAAAACUCAGGGCUUAACCCUGAGCCUGCUGCCGAGACGGGCAGACUAGAGGUAUGCAGGGGAGAACGGAAUUCCUGGUGUAGCGGUGAAAUGCGCAGAUAUCAGGAGGGACACCGGUGGCGAAGGCGGUUCUCUGGGCAUUACCUGACGCUGAGGAGCGAAAGCGUGGGGAGCGAACAGG
rnacentral:rRNA from 1 species